rfam:Schistosoma rodhaini strain Burundi genome assembly, scaffold: SROB_scaffold0005233
AACUUGCUGAUGAGUGCCAAGUAGCACGAAACUCGGGUCCAGGGU